AUGGCCAUCCCACCGCAGCACAGCAGGGGCAGCAGAGCUAUCACGACGAAGCCUUUCGCUGCUGUGAGAGAAAGGAAGUCCAGGCUGAACUACACUGUCGCGGCCAAGAACCUGGGCAAGCUGGAGCCCAGGCAGCUCGCCCUCCGACUCCGACAGCUCGCGGCGUGCCUCCUCGUCCUCGUCGCUUGCGCAGGCGCGGCCAAGCUCCUCUCCACGCUGCUCUCGCCACGGGUCCCCUGGAUCGAGCCAGGGUCCAGGGCGGCGAGUUCUUGGGACCGCCGUGCUAAUGUGGAUGCAGAUGUACCACAAGGGCAUAGUACCUCUCCGGUUCUUGCAAAAUCCGGCAGUGAUCCAUCAGAAAGUUCACCAGAGUUAGUGUUGCCCGUCGUGGAUCCUGAACUUAGAAGUGACAGUGUCAAGAUUAAGACAUAUCAGAAAAUAAAUUAG
rnacentral:rRNA from 1 species